AGGGCAAAUCAGCUGGCGUGCUGUGUUCCGAAGUCAGUCUCCUUGAGUCUCAGGUCUUUGCCAGGAAGCACCACAAGUUCUCCCUAUAUACUAGUCUUCAGUUAUGCUCAGGUUGAUGCCUUGCAGGGCUACAACGCAGGUGCUCUUAAUAAGAGAUCUUCCUCUUGAAUGGAAAUGGAUGAGCUGACAACCCAUCAUUUUAUAUGAAAAUUUCUCCAUCAGUGGCUUAUUUAGUCGAGCAAAUAUCAGCUAAUACUCCAAAAGGGAAAACUACAGAUUUAAGAAAUACUUGUGGAUUGUUCUCCCUUCUGAAGAAGUAGCCUUCGCAUAAUAGUUGUCUUUGAGUGGGCAUUUACGGCUGCAAUGAGAUCUUUAGGUAAUUACUACCAAAGCAGUUGAAGAAAAAAAAGUUACCUGAACAGCAAAUGUUUUAUCCCCAAAUCCAGGAGUCAUUCCCAAUAUACUCAUGUAUGAUGCUUCAUUGAUGAAGUUUUCAAUUCCAUGGAAGAGAC